rnacentral:misc_RNA from 1 species
AUGUCGAAAGGUUAUAGUUCAGUAUAAAAGGAAGUAAGUUAUAGAAUAUUGACAGAUAAAAAGAGUUAUGGAAGUAGAGAUUUGAACAGUUGAUUCAUAUAUAACAAAGAAAUAUUCCGAAUGUGAGGAAGACUAUGGACUAGAAUGGUCAGAGGACCAAUGAUUAGGUAAAUAAUUCUAACAUGAUUGCAAUGGUCAUUUAAUAAGGGAACAUGAAUUGAAAUAUUAGACAGAACGAUAGUAAGAGAAGAUUAGUGUUAUACAAACAAAUUAAAUAUUGUAUUAGAUUGUUAAAAGUCUUACACAAACUUAAAGGAAAGAAGAUUAUACGAUUCUAUAGAAAGGAGAAAAAAUAAGUUCUCACUCCACAGGAUCACACAAGGUCCUAGAAAGAGUGGAUUCAUUAGCACACAAAAUUGCUUACCUCUAAAAAGGUGAAAUGAAUUUAAAUUCAACGUAUGAUGGGGAAACUCAUAAAGAUCUUAGUACAUGAGGUGAAGUAGCUGAGAAAUAAAUGUAUACAUUUGGUUAAGGUGUUAUGGACCAUUAUUCAGAUUAUGAAACUACAUGAAAAUAUAUGAAAGACAUGAGAAAAUAAACGUAUGACUAUUUUAGGAUGGAUAUUGGGUAAAAUUUCACGAACGAAAUUUCUUUUAAGUGGGG